AUGGUGGUGAGCUGGACAGAGGGACAAGGAGUGGAACCGGAUGGAUCCCGUCAGCCCAGAACAGCUCUCACCACGCUCCAACCCYACUCGCCUGCCGAGCAUACCGAACUCUCUGCGCACCGCUGUGCCCAAAGUCCACUUGUGGGCCUGCUUGCCUGUUUCCCUACAGCUCCAGGGUGCCUGCCUCUGCCAGAGCGAGGGUGCGCACACAGGUCYGGACUGCGGAGGAACCUUGUGUUCAGUGACGAUUCCUGUUACGCUCGGAUGCUGGCCUCACAGGUGACGACCAAAAUCAACAACUGGAUCGCUAGGUCUAGCUGCUUCUCUUCAAGAUGUCCCCCUUCGGUGGACUACCCUGCCAAACAAACCAAGACGACUGAUGAGGCCGUGAGGGUAUCAGAUCUUUGGACCGCUUCUCCAAGACUUUCUGGGAGACUGACAUAACCGCUUCUCUUCACGUUACUCAAAGCCACGUUCAUCUAUUACCUAAGACUAAACUGUUUCUAUUUCAAGAGAGGAUUGCUGUUUGUCGAAACUUUACACAUAGUCCAUAACCCGCUACGCAUCAUCUCUCGUCCCUUCUGCUUUCACAACACUUUCAGUAAUUAAAGGUGGGAAUUAAGAGCACCCGUUGCCCUAUGGGCUGGAGUAAGUCAUUUCUCCUGCUCUGAGGAGGUGCCUAAAAGCCAUGCUGUUUUCUGAAGUAGCAUCACUGGACUUCCCGUAGCCCACCAGCGUUCCCUUAGGCUUUUCCCGAGCCUUGUAUUUUUUUAAGGUUAUUCCUUAGCCUGCAAUUUUAUGCCAAUGUUCUCCUUAAGCAUUGUGCACAGCACGAUUAUCCCAGACCAACCACAUUAACAGACUCCUCUUGCACGCACAGAGGCUUCUAAGAGGUGGCUCAGAAGAAAAGAGAGAAAAGUCUGUCAUCUGUGCACCCACCCAUCAACAUUCUUCACCAAGAAAUGCUGUAAAUUCCCUUUUCUCUAAAGUGGGACUGAGUCAAAGGGGAGGUACGGAUCACCCCCCAUAUUUAUUAGAACACCUCACUGCUGCGGGCACUGGGUCUGGGAGUGGCUUUAGGAUUGCUUAGGGCUUUGGGACAUCAGGCUGCUGUGCCACUGUUGGAGACAUCCAGACCUCUGUGCAACAUACGAGUGCCUGGGGAGCCAUCAGAGGCAACGGAGGACCCAGCACCACAUGCUGCACUGGGGAAGCCCGUGGCUUUGCAGCAGCUGGACAGGAGGGAGCAGGACUCAGCGGGGCUUUCAAUCAGUCAGUGCCCGCAUUGGCUGGCACCCACACUCUGUGCCUGGGGGUGGGGGAGGCCUCCAGGUGCCUGGGAGUGUUGUUCUUUUAUCCAUCUUCUUGCUUGCCUAGCCACAAGUCUCAAAGAAAUAACCUGGGGCUGCACUAAUCGUACCUGACGCAAACUGACACUCGACCU
rnacentral:lncRNA from 1 species